rnacentral:tRNA from 1 species
GGCUAGAACAGCUAGCACAAUUGUCAUUAUAAUUUGCAAUACACUUACUAGCUUGGUUUUUAU